GAACGCGUGAGCCGAGCUGGCCGAAGGCAUCCGACUUUUAAUCGGACGGGCGAAAGCCCCGCGUGGGUUCGAAUCCCACCGCGUUCUCCA
rnacentral:tRNA from 1 species